rnacentral:tRNA from 1 species
GAAUUUGACUGAUUUAAGUAAUAAUUUUUUAAAUUAUAAGAAUGUAAUUAAAUAUAAUAUGAAUUUGUCAAAUUCA